ACCCGCUGAACUUAAGCAUAUCAAUAAGCGGAGGAAAAGAAAGCAACAGCGAUAGCCCUAGUAACGGCGAGUGAAGCGGCUACAGCUCAAAUUUGAAAUCUGGCCCUCUUUGGGGGUCCGAGUUGUAAUUUGCAGAGGAUGCUUUGGCAUUGGCGGCGGUCUAAGUUCCCUGGAACAGGACAUCGCAGAGGGUGAGAAUCCCGUACGUGGGCGCCUGCCUUUGCCGUGUAAAGCUCCUUCGACGAGUCGAGUUGUUUGGGAAUGCAGCUCUAAAUGGGAGGUAAAUUUCUCCUAAAGCUAAAUACCGGCCAGAGACCGAUAGCGCACAAGUAGAGUGAUCGAAAGAUGAAAAGUACUUUGGAAAGAGAGUCAAAUAGCACGUGAAAUUGUUGAAAGGGAAGCGCUUGCAACCAGACUUGCCCGCAGUUGCUCACCCAGGCUCUCGCCUGGGGCACUCUUCUGCGGGCAGGCCAGCAUCAGUUUGGGCGGUCGGACAAAGGCCUCUGUCAUGUACCACCCUUCGGGGUGGCCUUAUAGGGGGGGCGUAAUGCGACCAGCCCGGACUGAGGUCCGCGCAUCUGCUAGGAUGCUGGCGUAAUGGCUGU
rnacentral:rRNA from 1 species